rnacentral:lncRNA from 1 species
CCAAGAAACCUGUUAAGGAGCCUUAAAAUCAUAUACUGUAAAUUAUUAACCAAGAACUCAACAGCUAAAGCUGUCACAAAGGAAGUUCAGUGUAAGGUACAGGACCAGCAACGGAGAGAGGUUUGAAAUGAGCAGAAAAAGUCUUUAAAAAGGAAGAAAUGGCUUCACCCGGACACAACAGAAUACGCAGGAGCAUUGAGGAACCCCCAUAUAUAGCUGAUGUGCUUUAUCUCAAAGAUGAACUGAACAGACUUCAUGACAACACUUCAUCUGAAUGUCACGAGCAUUUAAAGAAAAUGACUGGUCUGGUUAAUGAGUUUGAAAAAGAUUACAAACAUGCAACUCGUGUCAUUAUAGAAAGAGGAAUUGCAGCUGGAAUUUCAGUCUUAGUAGCAGGAUAUGUUUUAUCUGUUUUUUCUGGAGGGGCUUCUGCAGUUGUUGGUGGAAUUGGAGCAAGUGCUGCCACAGCUGGUGUAAUCACUAUUGCUAUCGGAAGUUUUCAAAGACAACAAAAGAAGAAGAACAUAAGCAAAGCAUUUGAAGAUCAUCUGACAGAGUUACAGAACAAAAUCUCCCCUGUGAUUGAUGUGCUGCAGAAACUAUUUAAUCUAACACAGAAAAUACUGAGAGACCCUUCAAUAUCAGAGCACAAAGCUAACAUGAUACGGGAACGUUUGUCCUACUGCUUUUACCGAAUGCAACUCUUCAAGAUAAAUGACAAUAGAGAAGCCACAACACCCAUGUCUAAAAGUGUGCAUCUCACUGAGCAUUACUCACAGGUUUUCAAAGACAUGACUUAUUUGAUUAAAAUUCUUAAAGAGAUUAUUGAGGAUGACGAAGACAAGAAUAAAGACACUGACAACACACCAACAGACAAAAAAAUUGAUGAAAAAGAGUUUAAGAAAAAAUCUGAGACGUUUAUUGAUGAAAUGAGGAAAGGAAUUAAUCUAUUUCAAAAUACUAUGAAUGAAAUUAAUCAGAUAAAUAUUAGAAUCUCACAGAGAUUUGAAUAAACGUGACAAAACCAAACAAUAUAAUGAAGUCACAAACUGUUAAAUCAAACCAACUGAUAAAGAACAACAGUCAAAUGCCAACACUGCAGAUCGGCGGCUGUUGAUCUAGAUAACACAGUGUUGAUUUAAUGAACAAUCAAGCUAACAAUAAAGUAGCAAGCAUACUGGUCAUAAACUAAUAAACAAACUACUGCUUAUUAAACUAAGAUUCAAACAGACAAACAGCACAAUAACAAAAAGUAGAUGUUUCAUCUAUAACUUAACAGAUCAACUAGUUCAACAGUAAGAUCAGGACAAGAUUGUCAAAAGCCCUAUUUGGACGGAAAUAGUUUCUCAAAGGAAAAUCUGUAAAACAACAACAAUAGCUUGAAUGAUCAAACAUGCUUUUGGUUGAAGGUACAUUCGUGGAGUUCUGAGUCAUAAUUCUAUGAACCUGAAACUAUGAAGUAUAAAAUGAUAUGUUCAUGUAAAUACUAUAAUUCCAAGAUGACAGCUGUAAUCUACAUGAACCUGCAUGUAACUCUGUGCUGCAUGCCCUAGUUCACAGUACUUUUCUAAGAAGACAUCUACACUCGCAAAAGUCUUUUACACAAUUAAAAAAAAAAAACAUAUUACAAAGUCGGUUCAUUCCGCUGUGGCAAACCCCUGAUUAAUAAAGGGACUAAACCGAAGGAAAAGGAAUUAAUGAUUAUUACAAAAUUGGUAACAUAUGCGUUAAUUAAAUUUGCUACUAAAAGCGUCACUGGAAGUUUCGCUGGUUCUGCAUGAGGUGCAGUGAUCACAUGCUACAAAGUUAUCAGGAAAAAAAAAAUCACAGUUUUAUGUUGUAAAUUGCAAUUAAUUCUAUAAAGACAUGUAUGCUUUUUAUGACAUAGAAUCUCACAAUUAUGACAAAUCUAAUAUGGUGUGAACGCACCUAAACAUCAAUAAAAUCUGUGUUAUUGAUUCAAAACGUAAAAUGCCUUUUUUUUUAAAUGUCGAAAUGUGUCAUGUAAAAAAUCUGGUUUAAUAUGUCGAUGUAUGUUUCUAUAUAGGUUUUUAAAAUGUAUAUAAUUUUAUAAUAACUACCCUAUUACAUGUUUUACUCUUUUUUUCUGUACAUAGAGCCUGCUCUCUGUAUAGAGUACUUGGAGUUGUGGAUUCAGACAGCAGUUAAUUUUCACACAAUAGAAACUGAAGUACUUUGUAUGUUUUUAAAAUGAAAUAAAUACAAAUCAAAUUCUUCUAUAUACAUGUAUAGGAUUUAAAUGGUGUCAAGACUUUUGUGCUCAACUUAAGCAACAUAUAUGCUAUUUGUGACAUUUCUACUGUGGUAAUAUUUUCAGUAAAAUACUUUUUCAUUAAAGUCUUUUGCCU